rnacentral:rRNA from 2 species
AUGGAUUGAGAGCUUGCUCUCAAGAAGUUAGCGGCGGACGGGUGAGUAACACGUGGGUAACCUGCCCAUAAGACUGGGAUAACUCCGGGAAACCGGGGCUAAUACCGGAUAAUAUUUUGAACUGCAUGGUUCGAAAUUGAAAGGCGGCUUCGGCUGUCACUUAUGGAUGGACCCGCGUCGCAUUAGCUAGUUGGUGAGGUAACGGCUCACCAAGGCAACGAUGCGUAGCCGACCUGAGAGGGUGAUCGGCCACACUGGGACUGAGACACGGCCCAGACUCCUACGGGAGGCAGCAGUAGGGAAUCUUCCGCAAUGGACGAAAGUCUGACGGAGCAACGCCGCGUGAGUGAUGAAGGCUUUCGGGUCGUAAAACUCUGUUGUUAGGGAAGAACAAGUGCUAGUUGAAUAAGCUGGCACCUUGACGGUACCUAACCAGAAAGCCACGGCUAACUACGUGCCAGCAGCCGCGGUAAUACGUAGGUGGCAAGCGUUAUCCGGAAUUAUUGGGCGUAAAGCGCGCGCAGGUGGUUUCUUAAGUCUGAUGUGAAAGCCCACGGCUCAACCGUGGAGGGUCAUUGGAAACUGG